rnacentral:rRNA from 1 species
CAGCAGCCGCGGGAACACGUAGGCAGCAAGCGUUGUUCGGAGUUACUGGGCGUAAAGGGUGUGUAGGCGGUUCUCUAAGUUUGGUGUGAAAUCUCCCGGCUCAACCGGGGGGGUGCGCCGAAAACUGGGGAGCUAGAGUAUGGGAUGGGAAAGUGGAAUUCCUGGUGUAGCGGUGAAAUGCGUAGAGAUGUGGAGGAACACCAGUGGCGAAGGCGACUCUCUGGUCUGUAACUGACGCUGAGGAGCGAAAGCGUGGGGAGCGAACAGGAUUAGAUACCCCUGUAGUCCCUGUCUCUUAUAC